rnacentral:lncRNA from 1 species
AAAGAUUCUGAAUCUGAGUACAUAUUAAGUACAUAGAAUUUAUUCAUUUACUGCACAUAUUAUAUAUUGAUGAUGUAUAUCUAUUCUAAACGUGUAACUUAAUGGCUUAUUUCAAGGAGUAUAUGUAUUAUCAAGCAAAUGUAUAUAUGCAUUUGCAUUGCAUCCUAAAAAGUAAUUUUCAAAAAGAAUGGAUACCGCAUACUAAAUGUUGUCAUACAUCAGUUUUAUUCUUUUCAUUUUUCGUCUCAUUAUUGAAAGCAAUUGACAUUUACAAAAGGUUUUGGCUUCUUUUCUUCCACUGAUAAGAUCCAACGAAUAACAGUAUGUUUAUAUUCAAUUUGAAAACCUGCAUUAGAAUGGUGCAUUAGGCAUAAAGUGUAAUUUUGGUCAGUGCCAAAAAGAAAAAGAAAAUUUUCAACUUUUAAAAAAUAUUUUUGGCUUAAAAAAAACUAUUUUGGAGGGUCUGGAUGGCCUAAAAUUCUCAUGUUUCUGUAUUCUUUCUUUUUUUUCUGCUUGAUCAAAUUGUAAUUCAUUGUUGGCAAAUAUGUGUCAUCUCUAUGGUAAAACUUGUCUUGUUACUGCAUACACAGCAAUUAAUAAUUAAGCAGAGUUGUUCUGCAACUAAAAUUUAAUCAUUCAGGUACUUUGCUUGACAUACAGCAUACAGGUUAGUGAGAUUUGAGAAUACUAUAAACAACAUAUUUUAAUGUAUACUCCCCCCCUUUCUAGUCCUCUUCCCAGCAUUAUAAGUCCAUGAUUUUCAAAUUUUCCUGAUGUAGUUAAUUAAGAAAAGACCCCAGUUUAACAUAUUUGCAACAAUUAUUGUAUGGGUUAUUUUUUACAUGCGAAAUUGCGAAAAACAAAUUGCUUGCAAAAAAAUCUAUUCAGACACAGUAUUAUCACAACUUAAACAGUGCAUGCACCUUUGUGUUGAAUGCUUGAUAACAGAUAUCACAACUUAAACAGUGCAUGCACCUUUGUGUUGAAUGCUUGAUAACAGAUUUUGGUUUUAACAGAGAGCUUAGCAGUUUUAGAAUUAAACUUAUACAUUUGUAGAAGAAUUCAAGAUGUUAUUUUUCAAUUAUUAUUUUUUUUCAGAAGUGCAUUUGACAAAAUGAUCAGAUUUUAUUCCUCUUAUUUGUUUGUGAUAACCAUUUAAAAAAACUUUUAUAUGUAUCUGAAAAAGAAAAUUUAUGCAGCAAUAUAAAUGUAUUUAAU